rnacentral:misc_RNA from 1 species
CUUGUCUUCAACAAACUUUGAGAUUGCGUACUGGCUCGAUCCAGACCGCUCCUUCAGUGAUAUAAUUGCCUCCUUGACCAUCUCGAGAUAAGGAGGAUGGAGAGCUGGCUUCUUUGUCAUGGAUGCCUUCUUCUUCUUCAGGGACUUCCCCUUCGCGGGAUUGGCCGGCUUCGCUGCCGGAACAUCAGUGGAGGAGGGAGACUCGACUGCGGUGAGGACUAACUCAGCUGUCGCCAUUUCAACAGAGAAGAAGGAGGGAUUGG